CCAACUCGCUCCGCCUUCCACUUUUCGGUAGAGGGGAAGAUCUCAGCCAUGAGGAAGAUUGGCGCCGAUCCUCCAAUGUCCUUUGGAGGAGAAAUUAUUCUAUGCGGACACCGUAAAAUAUCUUGGCCCUUUAACCGACUGUACGGUGCAGUUGACGAUGAAUAGUUGCGCCGUCGAUAGGAUCGGGGAGUCGAAUAUUUUUCUUGCGGGGAAAGUGGGUUGGAGAUGUUAUAGGAGGAUCAGGGGACUGCAGUUCUGGACGAUUCCGCGAGGUGAGGUGCUGAUGAACGAGCCGCGGGGACGGAGGAUACAUGGUCGUCGGAUUUCUUGCUUCGGAGUGUAGCGGGGAUGGUCGUCAGGUGGUUGGCGAGACUGAACUCGGCACUCGUGUUGAUGCGGAUUAGGGAACUUUACGCUGAGGGAUGGAGGACGAGGGGAGGCGUUAAUGGUGUUUUUGGUCAAUUUGGUGCCGGCAACAACUGCUUGCUGGGUAUGUCAUGAAUGUUGUCCACAAGGAGACCGAGAACUUCGAGUGAUUGCUUGUCAGAUUAUUGUUCACCCUGUCUUCCGAUGCUUGGAGAAAUUCGAUAUGCUGUAGCAGCAAAAUUAACAAGGAGGGUUGGCCAGUUUAUUGAAAGAUUGGGGAAAGUUGAACCAAACAAACUUAUGCAAGUUACAACCAUGGAAAGAUAUGUCAAAUAUCAUGUUAAAGAGUUUGAAAGGAUUCGACCCAUGAGGAUAGUACUUCAGAACUUCAGGUAAGAAAAGACAAAUUCUUGAACAGGAAACUGGUGGAGUUUGAUGAGUUUGGGGUUAGUCGUCUCUAGCUCUUUUAUAAUGCAAUGGUGCUCUGUGUUUUAUUAUUAUUAUUAGGGUCUUUGUAUCUGCUUCUUAGCUUUGUGGUUAUGAUUAUUUCGAGCUGACUGAAGCUUACAAUGUAUUAGAUGGAUUGAAGCUGUUAUCAACAUUUUAGUCUGAAUCUGAGACUAUAUAUUUAAUGUUGUUUUA